rnacentral:rRNA from 1 species
UACGUAGGGUGCGAGCGUUAAUCGGAAUUACUGGGCGUAAAGCGUGCGCAGGCGGUGAUGUAAGACAGUUGUGAAAUCCCCGGGCUCAACCUGGGAACUGCAUCUGUGACUGCAUCGCUGGAGUGCGGCAGAGGGGGAUGGAAUUCCGCGUGUAGCAGUGAAAUGCGUAGAUAUGCGGAGGAACACCGAUGGCGAAGGCAAUCCCCUGGGCCUGCACUGACGCUGAGGAGCGAAAGCGUGGGGAGCGAACAGG